rnacentral:rRNA from 1 species
CCCUUAGAUGUCCUGGGCCGCACACGCGCUACACUGAUGCAUUCAACGAGUUUCACCUUGGCCGAGAGGCCUGGGCAAUCUUUUAAACCUGCAUCGUGAUAGGGAUAGAUUAUUGCAAUUGUUAAUCUUGAACGAGGAAUUCCUAGUAAACGCAAAUCAUCAAUUUGCAUUGAUUACGUCCCUGCCCUUUGUACACACCGCCCGUCGCACCUACCGAUUGAAUGGUCCGGUGAAGCCUCGGGAUUGUGGCCAGUUCACUUUAUUGGGAGUUGGCUGUGAGAACUUGUCUAAACCUUAUCAUUUAGAGGAAGGUGAAGUCGUAACA